rnacentral:rRNA from 1 species
GACGAACGCUGGCGGCGUGCUUAACACAUGCAAGUCGAGCGGUAAGGCCCUUUCGGGGGUACACGAGCGGCGAACGGGUGAGUAACACGUGGGUGACCUGCCUUUAGCUCUGGGAUAAGCCUGGGAAACUGGGUCUAAUACCGGAUAUGACUCCGCGGUGCAUGCUGUGGGGUGGAAAGCCUUGUGCGGCUGAGGAUGGGCCCGCGGCCUAUCAGCUUGUUGGCGGGGUAAUGGCCCACCAAGGCUG